rnacentral:rRNA from 1 species
GAUGAACGCUAGCGGCAGGCCUAAUACAUGCAAGUCGAACGAGAUCAGUUCUUUCGGGAACUGGUUUAGUGGCGCACGGGUGCGUAACGCGUAUGCAACCUACCUUAAACUGGGGGAUAGCCCGAGGAAACUCGGAUUAAUACCGCAUAAUACUAUUUGAUGGCAUCUGAAGAUAGUUAAAGAUUUAUUGGUUUAAGAUGGGCAUGCGUGCCAUUAGCUAGUUGGAGAGGUAACGGCUCACCAAGGCGACGAUGGCUAGGGGUUCUGAGAGGAUGAUCCCCCACACUGGUACUGAGAUACGGACCAGACUCCUACGGGAGGCAGCAGUAGGGAAUAUUGGGCAAUGGACGGAAGUCUGACCCAGCCAUGCCGCGUGCAGGAAGACGGCCUUCUGGGUUGUAAACUGCUUUUAUAUAGGAAGAAAACACCCAUGCGUGGGAAACUGACGGUACUAUAUGAAUAAGCACCGGCUAACUCCGUGCCAGCAGCCGCGGUAAUACGGAGGGUGCAAGCGUUGUCCGGAUUUAUUGGGUUUAAAGGGUGCGUAGGCGGCCCGUUAAGUCCGUGGUGAAAGCCUCCAGCUCAACUGGAGAACUGCCAUGGAUACUGGCGGGCUUGAGUACAGACGAGGUUGGCGGAAUUGAAGAUGUAGCGGUGAAAUGCAUAGAUAUCUUCAAGAACACCGAUUGCGUAGGCAGCUAACUAGGCUGUAACUGACGCUGAGGCACGAAAGCGUGGGGGAGCGAACAGGAUUAGAUACCCUGGUAGUCCACGCCGUAAACGAUGAUUACUCGAUGUUGGCGAUACACAGUCAGCGUCUUAGCGAAAGCGUUAAGUAAUCCACCUGGGGAGUACGCCCGCAAGGGUGAAACUCAAAGGAAUUGACGGGGGCCCGCACAAGCGGUGGAGCAUGUGGUUUAAUUCGAUGAUACGCGAGGAACCUUACCUAGGCUAGAAUGCGCGUGACCGCCUCAGAGAUGGGGCUUUCCUUCGGGACACAAAGCAAGGUGCUGCAUGGCCGUCGUCAGCUCGUGCCGUGAGGUGUUGGGUUAAGUCCCGCAACGAGCGCAACCCCUAUCUUUAGUUGCCAGCACAUAAUGGUGGGGACUCUAAAGAGACUGCCUGCGCAAGCAGUGAGGAAGGUGGGGAUGACGUCAGGUCAUCAUGGCCCUUACGCCUAGGGUUACACACGUGCUACAAUGGGCGGUACAAAGGGUUGCUACUUAGCGAUAAGAUGCCAAUCUCAAAAAGCCGCUCUCAGUUCGGAUCGAAGUCUGCAACUCGACUUCGUGAAGCUGGAAUCGCUAGUAAUCGCGUAUCAGCAAUGACGCGGUGAAUACGUUCCCGGGCCU